UCUGGAUAUGAUAACAAUAUGAUAGCAAUAUAAUAUGAGAAUAGAGGUGUGAGGCCUAGCUUUGGUUUGAUGCUGUAGCUCUUCAGUCCAAGUUCUGUUCUGGUUCUCUUCAGUCCAGGUUCUGUGGUGGUUUUCUUCAGUCCAGGUUCUGUGGUGGUUUUCUUCAGUCCAGGUUCUGUUUUGGUUCUCUUCAGUCCAGGUUCUGUGGUGGUUUUCUUCAGUCCAGGUUCUGUUUUGGUUUUCUUCAGUCCAGGUUCUGUGGUGGUUCUCUUCAGUCCAAGUUCUGUUUUGGUUCUCUUCAGUCCAGGUUCUGUUUUGGUUCUCUUCAGUCCAGGUUCUGUUUUGGUUCUCUUCAGUCCAGGUUCUGUGGUGGUUCUCUUCAGUCCAGGUUCUGUUUUAGUUAUCUUCAGUCCAGGCUCUGUGGUGGUUUUGUUCAGUCCAGGUUCUCUUCAGUUCUCAUAAUUGGAGGGUUGAGCGUCUCCCUGAGGGUCUGUAUCACUGGGGGAGUCCCUCACACU
rnacentral:lncRNA from 1 species